GACGUAGGAGGCGAGCGUUAUCCGGAUUUAUUGGGCGUAAAGGGCAAGUAGGCGGUUGUCAAAGUUGGGCGUGACAUCUCUCGGCUUAACUGAGAGGGGUCGUUCAAAACUAGGCAACUAGGGGGCAGAAGAGGAAAGCAGAACUCCUGAUGUAGCGGUGGAAUGCUCAGAUAUCAGGAAGAAUACCAGUGGCGAAGGCGGCUUUCUGGUCUGCACCUGACGCUGAGAGGCGAAGGCCAGGGUAGCGAACGGGCUUAGAUACCCCGGUAGUCCUGGCAGUAAACGGUGGAUACUAGGUAUCAGGGGUCAAGGCCUUUGGUGCCGAAGCAAACGCGUUAAGUAUCCCGCCUGGGGACUACGGCCGCAAGGUUAAA
rnacentral:rRNA from 1 species